GUGAGUGCCGCGCGGGGGCGGGCGCGGGGGCGCGGGCGGGGGGCGCGAGCCGGGAGCGCGCCCAGCGCGCCCCUCCCCCUCCCCGCCGCCCCACGCGUGAACUCCGCGGGGCCUUUUGUUCGCGGGCGAAGGCCCUGCCCCGGACCGUUGGGGGGCGGCGGUUAGCGGGGCCGGGCCCAUCGGGCUGGGCCGGGCGAGCCGCCCCGCCCCCCUGCUCUGCCGCGGCGUCCCCUCCCCCACCCGCCGCCCCUUCCCCCGGAUCUCCUUGAGGUUCGUCCUCUCCCCGGGAAAACUGAGGCCUGGGUCGGGGAGGAGCCCUGGCGUCCCGGCGGGCGCUGCGGGGGGCCGGGGGGCCUGGCCAGGACCUGCGAGAUUUAGACAUGGCCAGAGACCCCAAAGGGAGCCGGGCCCGGCCCGGCCAGAAGCGACAGCACAGCGCUACCCUCUACCACAGUAACUGUGACCUGAACUAUGAGCUGUAUCGGGAAGACUUCCCCUACAGGGUGUAUGAAUAUCAGAGGAUCCCCCCACUUAUCAACCGAGCGCCUGUCAAGAGCAGACGGACUCACAUGGGAACAGGGGGCAAGAGUGGCCUCAACCCCCACAUCCCCCCACGAAGCAACAACCCACCCCCUGUCCGGACAAAGUUAAGAGCUGAGGAGCUGCACUCGAUCAAGGGGGAGCUGAGCCAGAUCAAAGCCCAGGUGGACAGUCUGCUCGAGAGUCUGGAGCGCAUGGAUCAGCGGCGAGACCGGCUGGGAGGGCCCCAAGACAGUGAGAAGAAGGUGGCCUCGGCCGGCGGGGAGUCCUCCAGUGCGGCCACGGAGGCCCAGCGGGAGCCCAGGGGCAAAGAGAGCCCGGAGGCCAGAGCUCGCAGCCGCAGGGAGGCCGACAGUGCUGAAGAGAGCACGGACACGGAGGAGGCGAUGAAAAACCACACAUCGGACCCUGACGGGAGCCAGUAGAAGCACUGGGGCCCUUCCUGGGUCGGCCUCCCAGCCGGUGCCACGUGAGACCUGCCCUCCAGCCUCUCCUCCAGAAGCUGGGCACAAGUCCCUGAGGUGCAGGCCUAGAGAAUGGGCCUGGGGAGGCAGGAAAAUCCAGCAGGUCUAGAAUUUCCCUUUGAAAAAACUCCACCCUCCUUUCCUCUGUGCUGUUUCCCCCACCUCAUGAAAAAGGGGUUCCCUUGGUAGUAAGGCUUGGCAGGACGGGCAUUUGGGGGAAGCAUCUGGGCCAACAAUUCCAAGUUCUUCCCAAAUUGCUCAGUGAUGAUUUUCAGUUCCCCGUCCCCACCGGGUACCCACUCAUUUCUUCUUGAAGAAACAUUCCCAGGGGUAGAAACCCCCCCAUCUCUUGGACAGUCAGUCCAUUUACAACAGUAUUGGCUCUCUUCCUGGCUCCAGCAGACACGACCCAGGUUUUGCUCUCAAUAUUAGCCAUUCGACACAGAAACCCCCAGUGUUCCUUAUGGGGCUCCCCCAGCUUUCUUUCUGCCCAGCCAGUGUUGGGGAGACAUUGGCCGCAUACCCCCUCAUCCCCGCGAUGUGAGGUGAGAUCGAUACCAUUCUGUGCUUUCUCUGGUCCCCGAGAACCCCUACCAAGCCAGGCCAAGGGCAGCCGCCUCAGCUCCUGGUGGCUCAUCAAGGUUCCCCCUUUUCCCAGCACCCCGUGGCUUCAAUGUUUUGCACUAUUAGCCUUCAUGUGACCCCUUCUUCUCCCCCGGCCCCUGCAGAAUUCCAUACCCACAGUGGUGCAUGGGAAAUGAGUUCUGUUUCCGACAGGUGCGUUUCUGCUCCGUAGAAGAUAAGUCAGGUCCUUGGUCGAUGUUGCCCCGGUUAGCCCCGUUACUUCCUUGUCCCCCCUUCCCCCAUGCUGUCCUUUCAGAACAGGUGUAGUUCAUUCUUAUGUCCAGUUUCUAGCUUGUCUUCUUGCUGGUAUGAUACUGUGUAUUUCAAAUCUGCUCUGGAAAAGUGUAUUGUGUUGAAAGGAAAAAAAAUUAAAAGUUUGUAUUUCUUUUCUCUGGUUAAA
rnacentral:lncRNA from 1 species